CCUACGGGAGGCAGCAGUGAGGGAUAUUGGACAAUGGGCGCAAGCCUGAUCCAGCCAUGCCGCGUGCAGGAUGACGGUCCUAUGGAUUGUAAACUGCUUUUAUACGGGAAGAAACCCUGGCUCGUGAGCCAGAUUGACGGUACCGUAAGAAUAAGGAUCGGCUAACUCCGUGCCAGCAGCCGCGGUAAUACGGAGGAUCCAAGCGUUAUCCGGAAUCAUUGGGUUUAAAGGGUCCGUAGGCGGUUUAAUAAGUCAGUGGUGAAAGCCCAUCGCUCAACGGUGGAACGGCCAUUGAUACUGUUAGACUUGAAUUAUUAGGAAGUAACUAGAAUAUGUAGUGUAGCGGUGAAAUGCUUAGAGAUUACAUGGAAUACCAAUUGCGAAGGCAGGUUACUACUAAUUGAUUGACGCUGAUGGACGAAAGCGUGGGUAGCGAACAGGAUUAGAUACCCUGGUAGUCCACGCCGUAAACGAUGGAUACUAGCUGUUGGGAGUAAUCUCAGUGGCUAAGCGAAAGUGAUAAGUAUCCCACCUGGGGAGUACGUUCGCAAGAAUGAAACUCAAAAGUAGUAAAGUUACGGACCGGUCGUAGGAGACGUACGGACCGGAACGGACCGAACCGAACGGGAAGGGAGGGUUAGGG
rnacentral:rRNA from 1 species